GACGAACGCUGGCGGCGUGCUUAACACAUGCAAGUCGAACGAUGAACCCGGAGCUUGCCCCGGUGGAUUAGUGGCGAACGGGUGAGUAACACGUGAGUAACCUGCCCUUGACUCUGGGAUAACUGCGGGAAACUGUAGCUAAUACCGGAUACGACCCUCGGCGGCAUCGCCAGGGGGUGGAAAGAAUUUCGGUCAAGGAUGGACUCGCGGCCUAUCAGCUAGUUGGGGAGGUAACGGCUCACCAAGGCGACGACGGGUAGCCGGCCUGAGAGGGUGACCGGCCACACUGGGACUGAGACACGGCCCAGACUCCUACGGGAGGCAGCAGUGGGGAAUAUUGCACAAUGGGCGCAAGCCUGAUGCGGCAACGCCGCGUGAGGGAUGACGGCCUUCGGGUUGUAAACCUCUUUUAGUAGGGAAGAAGCGAAAGUGACGGUACCUGCAGAAAAAGCACCGGCUAACUACGUGCCAGCCGCCGCCGUAA
rnacentral:rRNA from 1 species